AUGGCCAGCACCGCUGGCGAGUCGAGAGCCAACCCUGUCGUGGCAUCGGAGGAAGGCGAGGUCCAGCUCUCACCUCUCUUGUCUGGGUACUACGCAUCCUCGGAGGGGUCUGAGGGCUACCUCACGGGCCCAGAGGAAGGGGAGAGCUCCCGCGUGGUGGCGGCGCCGGCGCCUCUACUGCCAGGUGAAGCGGCAGCGGCGGCAGUGUGGUCCCUCGCGUUCGGGUCCGUGUCGCAGCGGGGACUGGAUCAGCGGAAGGGCAUGGAGGACACCGUGUCGCUGCGCCCGUUCUUCUGCGUCCGGGCCGACGGCUCCCCCAUGCACUUCUUCGCCGUCUUCGACGGCCACGGCGGCCCACAGGUGUCGGCCCUGUGCAGUGACCAGAUGCACGUCAUACUGGCGGAGGAGCUGGCCCGCGUGGCAACUGCCUACCGGAAGGAGCACCUGGAAAAUGAUGAAGAGGCGGAGCGUCAGCUUCGAGUGGGCGGACACACUGGGGAUGGGGUUGUCAGAAUCGGGGUUGCCCAUCAUGGGGUCCACUGCCGUGGUGGCGCUCCUGGUCCGCGGCAGCAUCCUCGUGGCCAACUGCGGCGACUCCCACGCCGUGCUCUGCCGCGCCGGCAACGCCUUACCACUCUCCCAGGACCACAAGGUGAGAAU
rnacentral:rRNA from 1 species